rnacentral:rRNA from 1 species
UACGUAGGGGGCAAGCGUUGUCCGGAUUUACUGGGCGUAAAGAGCGUGUAGGCGGCCACGCAGGUCCGUUGUGAAAACUCCAGGCUCAACCUGGAGCCGCCAUUCGAUACUGCUAUGGCUAGAGUCCGGUAGGGGAGUGUGGAAUUCCCGGUGUAGCGGUGAAAUGCGCAGAUAUCGGGAGGAACACCGAUGGCGAAGGCAGCACUCUGGGCCGGUACUGACGCUGAGGAGCGAAAGCGUGGGGAGCGAACAGG